rnacentral:misc_RNA from 1 species
UCCGGUUUGUCACCGGCAGUCUCCCUAGAGUGCCCUUGCGUAGCAACUAGGGACAAGGGUUGCGCUCGUUGCGGGACUUAACCCAACAUCUCACGACACGAGCUGACGACAGCCAUGCAGCACCUGUGUUACGGCUCCCUUUCGGGCACACCCAGCUCUCGCUGGGCUUCCGUACAUGUCAAGGGUAGGUAAGGUUAUUCGCGUUGCAUCGAAUUAAUCCACAUCAUCCACCGCUUGUGCGGGUCCCCGUCAAUUCCUUUGAGUUUUAAUCUUGCGACCGUACUCCCCAGGCGGACAACUUCACGCGUUAGCUGCGGUACUGAGAAAUCGCGAUCGGGAUGUCAAGGGCUGGUAAGGUUCUGCGCGUUGCUUCGAAUUAAACCACAUGCAGGAGCAAGCU